rnacentral:rRNA from 1 species
UACGUAGGGGGCAAGCGUUGUCCGGAAUCAUUGGGCGUAAAGCGCGUGUAGGCGGUCCGGAAGGUCUGGUGUGAAAUCGUGGGGCUCAACCCCAUCUAGUCACUGGAAACCGUCGGACUUGAGUCCGGAAGAGGAGAGUGGAAUUCCUGGUGUAGCGGUGGAAUGCGCAGAUAUCAGGAGGAACACCUAUGGCGAAGGCAGCUCUCUGGUACGUGACUGACGCUGAGACGCGAAAGCGUGGGUAGCAAACAGG